UACGUAGGGGGCUAGCGUUGUCCGGAUUUAUUGGGCGUAAAGAGCGUGUAGGCGGCCAGGUAGGUCUGCUGUGAAAACUCGAGGCUCAACCUCGAGACGUCGGCGGAAACCAUCUGGCUAGAGUCCGGAAGAGGAGAGUGGAAUUCCUGGUGUAGCGGUGAAAUGCGCAGAUAUCAGGAAGAACACCCGUGGCGAAGGCGGCUCUCUGGGACGGUACUGACGCUGAGACGCGAAAGCGUGGGGAGCGAACAGGAUUAGAACCU
rnacentral:rRNA from 1 species